rnacentral:lncRNA from 1 species
CUCCUCGUGUGUUAUGCAUUGUAAAACCUUACAAAACAAAAAGCUGCUGUGAAAUUAAAAAAAAAUCCUGCCAAAAUAAUCCAGUGGUCACCCUCAUUCUGUGUGGUGUUAGAGUUUUGCUGCAUGCCAACUUCACUGAGAAAGAGCUGUUUCCUCAUUUGUCAAUAAUGAGGAACCACAGUUGUACCAUUUUUCCUUUGCUGGGGGAGAAGUGGUUGCUUCUGUUAAAAUCUAUUCAGACACACAGUACAUAGGCACAGUCUUCAGAUCACAUUUUCUUAUGCUUGGCUUGGGCUGCACAAUGUGAAUUCUCUUUCUGAAGUACCGGAAGGGAAAUGUGCUCUUUGCUUUGCAGAAGUGAAAGCACCUGGAAUUGCAGUGAAACCUGGGAGAAGCUGCCAUCUCUACAAACUAAGAAAAUGAUGUCUACGGUGAGGUUCAAAGAGCUGAGUCUUCUCUGAGCUGAGUCUUCUGCUGAGUCCUCGGACUGCACCGUCCUCUGUCCUUCUUGUGGCUUCCUGAUGGAUUCUAGUGAAGAUGACUCACAUCCAUUCCACUUUCAACUCCUUCUUGUCAUCAGGUCAGAUAAAGCUUGUGCUGGAUGAAAGGCAUCCAAUGUUUACAGAUCUGUGGAAAGAAGCUGUUGACAGUUGGACUCAUCGGUUCCAAAAUGGGAAAACUUCUUUCCAGAAACCCAGGAUAUCAUACUUGUCUUGUGCUGAUUCCAGAGUGGAGUCAUCUCGUCUUAAUCCGCUGCUACACAAAGACAUUUAGGGUAAAUUCUGAGAAGCUGUAGAAGUUCAAGAGGGCGGAACUGUGCUUUUUAGAACCUUGGAGAUGUAGGCUUUGGUUCUUAAUUAAUCAGAAAUGUUCUUUAACCAACAUUUGCCAUACCCACCCCAUGCAACGGUUACUGUGUGGGUACCAAGUACACGUUUGAGUCUUAUCAGCAGUCCCGUUAUUACAUCUGCUAUCUGAUAAACGGAGGUAAAAGCAGCAUGGUUGUCUUUUGAGUUGUCUCCAGAAACUGAAAGCAGCUUUGAUCUAGUACUGUCAUCAUUCAUAUUUACCACGUUCAUUUCUGAUUUAAUGUUAACGGCUGAUGUUUGGCAUUGGACUGCAUGUGGGUGUACCCUCACCAAACUGACCCUGGGGAGAGAGGCUGGAUGUGUGCUCAGGUGGCUGAGGCAAGGAAACACUGGGGGAAGGGCUGUAGAAAGCACCCUUGUGCUUUGAAAGGUGCCUCUUUUAAAACAAGAGGCCUCUUUGCCCUCCCGAAACGCUUUCAGUUUCCCCUCUUGUCCUCGUUUUCACAAGUUCUACAUUUUGUACUGUAAAUGCCAUCCUUAUGGCCUGGUGCAAGCUGUUGGGUCCUGGACGAUGCUUUCCUUCUCUGUCUGUCUACGCUAUUGGUGCUAAAUUUGAUAGUGGUUGUGUGAUCUCCUGUAGGACAACGCAGCGGAAGGACUUUGAAGAGGAAGAAACUGAAGAGAGAGAUUUGCCCUGUGCACACGGGUGAGCUAGCUGCUUCCAUUUGCCCGUUAAAGCAUCCGGACUUAUAAUUCACUCGAAAUGAGAUUCCUAAUUAAAAGGAAUAGUGCUUCCUGGCUUCCUGUUCGUUAGUCCAGACCGAACUUCAGUGCGGUAAAGAAGGCUUGAAUGUAUGGCUUCCUUUAUGCAGCAUCUAUUAGUUCACCAGCUGGAUGGCUGUACGUGCAUAUAGCCUAAACUCAUUGGACACGCUCAUCGUGAUCUUGAGGAACAGACUCAUCUGAGCUGUGGUAAACAGGGAGGACUCUUUCACACAAGCGUGGUUUGAAAGUCAGACUUUUCCUAAUAUUUUUCUCCCUACAUCAGCAUAUAAAUGGAAUUCUCUGGGCCAAAUUAGACUCUGUGGGAGGGUGAACGACCUCCACAUGACAAAUGAAUUCUGCGUUGAUUAAUAAGCUUCUGGAAGGCACUCAAAUUCCGCGGUGAUGAGGACAGUUGUAUGGGGACUUGAUAGGAAAGGAGGUUUUCUUCUUAAACGAUCUUAUUGUAUUUCUGUGCCCAUCUGCUGCACCCUGGUCUUGUUCUCGCUAUUUUAAAGCUACUUUGAACUCAUCAUCUUGAUGCAAGAGAAUGGAGAGACUUCAACUUGUUCUCCAACUUUGCGUUGGGUCUUCUGCCCAGGUUCAGUUUGCUGUGUCCCGUGGAAUCAUAGUAUCAUAGAAUGGCUUGGGUUGGAAGGGACUCCAAGGAUCAUCAAGUUCCAACCCCCUGCCACAGGCAGGUCCACCAACCUCCUGGUCUGGCACUAGCCCUGGUUGCCCAGAGCUCCAUCCAACCUGGUCUUGAACACCUCUAGAAUGGAAGAUCCUUGUGCUGCUUGUUGCUGACCUCAGCCCAGCUUUGAACCAACCCCUAAGCUUGACAGCCAUGACCUUCCUCUGGAGGGGGGUGUUUGCUGGGCUCUGAGACCUGCAGGACCUGGAGGAGACACGACAUGCCAUAUAUGCUCUGUGGCCUCCUGAAUGCUCGUGCCCAAGGAGCUGUCCUUGUCCUUUGCAGGAGCAUCCCUAGCAGGCUCAUAGUGAAGACGUUUAUAUUGACCCAGCAGGGGUGGAAGACCAAGUGUGAGUGCCUGGGCAGUUCCUGUGCCCAACUCACCGUGCUGGAUGCCUCGUUUCACUACGAAGAAUGAAUGCCAAGGAGGCAGGAAGGAACACUGAGGAGCGUUCUCUGCCUUAAUUCCACGGCUGUGAGCGAUCCCCCACACGUGCUGCUCUUGGCUUAGGCUGGGAUACAGAAAUCCCCACAUGCAGCCUCAGCUGCCUGCCAGCGUGACCCAGCUGCAGUCCUGGUCGCUGCCCUGGCUUCUGUAGGCUUUUGUCAGCAGAGAUAUCAAGUGGUUGUGACUGUGUGCAGGGGGUAGGAUGCCUGUCCCUUCACACAAAAAGGCUUUUUAUGAGCAGUUCUGGAUAACCCCCAGCCAUUACCAUCCUUAGGCUUGUGUAGGGCGAAUGGGUUCUGGUGCUGGCGAGAGGCAGGGAGACUUCUGCUGAAAGAAUGGGGGAAUGAGGAAGAAUAACACUUAACAGAUAUGACUUCACCAUGACUAUAUGUUACAGCAUUUCUUUGGGCAGAUGCCUCAUGUAUGAAUCACUCUGGAUGUGCUUAAUGUCUUUGGGAAGUGAGCGGGGCUGCCAUGGGAAGCCUGAGAGUUCCAGUUGCAAAGGUUCCCUUUGGUCCCUUCCCAAUCCUUCUGCCAGUCCUGGCCACAAGCUGCCCUUUUCUUAGAAAGGCACAGCUCUUGGACCUUGGUUGUGCUGCUUUCUGAUGGCCGACAGCCCUGUUGUGUGCUGGAAAAUCUCCUGGUUGUGUGCCCGGAUGAUUUAACAGCUGCUCUCACUUAGCCGGAUGGGAUGGCACUGCCCUCUCCUCGGGAUGCUUACAUGGGUUUAUUCUUUGGUGUGAUUUUGGGUUGGUUUUUUUCUUUCUUUGCAGUGUCUUGCUGUCCCUCCUACCCUCCCACGGAGCUUCGGUAGGAGACCACCUUCAGGCUUUAGGGAUCGCUUUAUGGAACUCAGCCCAGAAAGACGCUUGGGACAGCUUAUGGUGAGAGCAAGGCUUUGCUAAGUGGCACUUCCCCACCCCAAAAAUGCCAUGCGUGAGGGCCUGGGGAGCUCCCAAGGUGCUGCUGAGCUGCACGCCUCACGGCAUUCACAUGUUCCCAUCUGGCCACCCCCCUGCAGAACCUCAACACACGUCAGAGCACCGGGAGGCUCUGACAGUGCUGCUGGGCUAUUGGAUUCGCCAUUUGUGCUGGGAAACCCCAGAAAACUUCCCUGUCCCCUCCUCUCCCACAGUGUCACCUCGGGAAGGGGCCCCUGGAACGUAUUGGACAUGUGUGCCUGCAGCUGUCCCCAUUAUGCACAGAGAGUGAAAGCUUUAAAUAUGAGGAAAGCUUUGAUUAUUAGGAAAACGUUGGCUAUUAGGCUUAAUAUUAAGGUUUUAGUUGCUAUUAAUGAAUCCUUGCCCUGAG